UACAGAGGUCUCAAGCGUUGCUCGGAAUCACUGGGCGUAAAGCGCACGUAGGCGGACUCUUAAGUCAGGGGUGAAAUCCUGGAGCUCAACUCCAGAACUGCCUUUGAUACUGGGAGUCUUGAGUUCGGGAGAGGUGAGUGGAACUGGCGAGUGUAGAGGUGAAAUUCGUAGAUAUUCGCAAGAACACCAGUGGCGAAGGCGGCUCACUGGCCCGAUACUGACGCUGAGGUGCGAAAGCGUGGGGAGCAAACAGGG
rnacentral:rRNA from 1 species